ensembl:lncRNA
GACUUCUCUGCCAAUGGGUAAUUUUUAUAAAUUCGUUUUUGGUGAAAAAAAGCACUGUUUUAGAGAUGACCUAAGUAUGUCAAAGACCCUGUUGUAGUAAUUAUUUGGUACCAGACUUGUGUGAUCAUACUCAUAGAGAGAAGAAAGUUCUGGAAUAUGCGCUAAUGUUUUGUAAUGGUGGUGAUGCAUAGUGAGCGGUGGGUCGAGGAGUGUGUGGAAACACUGCCUUCAGGAAAGUCGACACUCGCUGGUCAGAGCGUGGGCGACCAGCCGUGUGUUAUUUCCAGGCGCCUUAACUCGAUUUCUGAAAUCUAAUUUCCUCGCCCCUGAUGUUAUUAAUGAUAUUACAACACCCAACGAGCUUUUAUCGAAACCGGCACCCAAACAUUUGGCAUCUAACAUAGGAAGGGGAAACGGAAUCUAUACAAAAGGCAAAGAGAGAACAGCCCUGAACAUAAAGCUGUGAAACAGAGGAAGUAGACGGACAGUCGGACACUCGGAGACCGUCCUUUUCCAGGUGGGAUGCAAACAUAUGACUUCAAGCAGCGAGACACGGCAUGCAAAAAAUAUAACAGAUUUAAAAAAAAAAAAACCUGCUUUAAAAAGAUACUGAGCAGGGUCAUUCCUAGACUAAUCCUACGUACGAAAAGAUAUUUAUACUCCGCUCCAGGCUAGGCCAGUCAGCAUUUCACCGUCACGUCAUGUCGCAUCACAUAUCCCGGCGUCCCCGGAGAGGUCGGGAUGCAGCAGGGAGGAAUGUGUGAUGAGAAGGCGGACAGAAGGAGGGGCUGGAUAAAUAAAUGAGUAAAGACUUAAGGCGGGGAGGUUAGGUAUCACACUAAGAUGACUCAUACGGGUCAAAUGUGCAAAAUACUCAUAUGGAAAAAGUAUCUAUCAGAGAAAAAAAAAGUGUCUGUGUUAGACUUCACAGGCACAAAAAUGAAAUGGUCUUCAGAGAAAGGCGUCUACUCAUUCUACUUGCAGUGGAAUGCUUUUAAUUAAUAAAUUAUCAUUAAUCAUUUAGUGAUCUUUUUUUUUCUUUUUCCUUUUUUGUUCCUGCUGUCAUACUAUUUCACUUUCAAUCUUGCUCUCUUUCUUUUUCUUCUUCCUUUGCUUUCUUUCCUUUGGCUGAAGUUCCACACAUUGGGAACGUCAAACUGUGUUUGUGUACUGCAUCAGGCCUUGUUGACUCGUGGCCAAGGGGUUUGUUGCUUCAUCUGGAAAAGGCAUGGAGAUUCGACAUGAUGCUGACAUGCAGUGGGAGAUGGCCUUGCACUGAGUCCAUCAACACUGAUGGCACUGUCACUCUGCAGUCCUCUGUGCAGUGUUACUUACGCGCCAAAAUGUCAAAUAUCACCUGAAAAGAACUGUGAAACCUCAGCGUAUACCUGGGCUACGCACUGAUUCACAGAGUGCCCUUAUGGGCCGAGAACUGGAACUCACUGAAGAUUUGUAAUUUUUUUUGCUGUGGUCCUACAAUGUGCUCUCUCACAAAUAAACGUAAACAUAUG